GGUGGCCUAGUGGUUUGAGUGUCCACCUUGGAUGCAUAAGACCAUGGGUUCAAACCCUAGCUGAAUCA